UACGGGGGGGGCUAGCGUUGUUCGGAAUUACUGGGCGUAAAGCGCACGUAGGCGGCUUUGUAAGUUAGAGGUGAAAGCCCGGAGCUCAACUCCGGAAUUGCCUUUAAGACUGCAUCGCUUGAAUCCGGGAGAGGUGAGUGGAAUUCCGAGUGUAGAGGUGAAAUUCGUAGAUAUUCGGAAGAACACCAGUGGCGAAGGCGGCUCACUGGACCGGCAUUGACGCUGAUGUGCGAAAGCGUGGGGAGCAAACAGG
rnacentral:rRNA from 1 species